AAGUACCAGACCGUACUUAUUACUAUUAGUGUACCUCCGGUAUAUGUACGCGAUUUAUCGCACCCUGAAUAGGCGACAGCGAAGGUUACAGCGAAGGUACGUUGGAGGUUAGAAUUCGAACUAGAAGUAUAUGACUUCCAAACGUCGAAGAAUAUUUGUCACGUACUUCAGCGACGUCACAAAUUAACCAUGAUGUUUGUGAUGUUACUCUGAGUGUAUAUCCACACCGGGCGAGCUUGAAAAAUAUGCCCGACCACGGUGGGAAUCGAACCUACGACCUUUGGAAUACUAGCCCAAUG